UCCACGCUGUAAACGUUGUCAACUAGCCGUUGGGUCUAUUUAUAGGCUUAGUGGCGGAGCUAACGUAUUAAGUUGACCGCCUGGGGGAGUACGGCCGCAAGGUUAAAACUCAAAUGAAUUGACGGGGGGCCCGCCACAAGUGGUGGAGCAUGUGGUUUUAAUUCGAAAAUACGCGAAGAACCUUACCUAGCCUUGACAUUGAGAGAACCUGCCAGAGAUGGCGGGGUGCCUUC
rnacentral:rRNA from 1 species